rnacentral:rRNA from 1 species
ACUCCUACGGGAGGCAGCAGUUAGGAAUAUUGGACAAUGGGCGGAAGCCUGAUCCAGCAACGCCGCGUGAGGGAUGACGGCCUUCGGGUUGUAAACCUCUUUCAGUACCGACGAAGCGCAAGUGAUGGUAGGUACAGAAGAAGCACCGGCCAACUACGUGCCAGCAGCCGCGGUAAUA